UACGGAGGGGGCAAGCGUUGUUCGGAUUUACUGGGCGUAAAGGGAGCGUAGGCGGUCGAUUAAGUCUGAUGUGAAAGCUUUACCACUCAACGGAAAGAGGUCAUCGGAUACUGGUCGACUAGAGUAAGGUAGAGGCAAGCGGAAUUCCUGGUGUAGCGGUGGAAUGUGUAGAUAUCAGGAAGAACACCGGUGGCGAAGGCGGCUUGCUGGGCCUUUACUGACGCUGAGGCUCGAAAGCGUGGGGAGCAAACGGG
rnacentral:rRNA from 1 species